GGCUCAGUAACACGUGGAUAAUCUAACCUUAAGUCAGGAAUAACCUUGGGAAACUGAGGAUAAAACUUGAUANUGGAAAGGUACUGGAAUGCUUUUCCUUCAAACUCAGCUUAAGGAUGAGUGGCGCGGAUUAAGGUUGUUGGUGAGGUAAUGGCUCACCAAAGCCUAUGAUCCGUAGGGCCCUUUGAUAGAGGUAGCCCCGAAAGAGCACUUGAGAUACUGGCUCUAGCCCUACGGGGUGCARCAGGCGCGAAACYUUUACAAUGCACUAACGUGUGAUAAGGGAACCCAGAGUGCUUCGCUUAGCGAGGCUUUUGCCAAGAGUAAAUAUCUUGGAGAAUAAUGUGGUGGGAAAGACUUGGUGCCAGCCGCCGCGGUAAUACCAGCGCCACGAGUGGUAACUGCAAUUAUUGGGCCUAAAGCGUCCGUAGCCUGUCUGAUAAAUUUCUUGUGAAACUGUUAAGCUCAACUUAGCAACGUGCAGGAAAGACUGUCAGACUUGGGACUGGGARGGGUUARGAGUACACUUGGUGUAGCGGCUAAAAUGUUAUAAUCCCAAGGAGACUACCUGUGGCGAAGGCGCCUAACCAGAACAGUUCCCACGUAGGACGAAAGCUUAGGGGAGCGAACCGGAUUAGAUACCCCAGUAGUCCUAGCUGUAAACGCUGCGAGCAAGAUGUUGCAUAUUNUUCGUGAAUGUGCAGUANCGAAGAGAAGUCGUUAAGCUCGCCGCCUGGGAAGUAUGGUCGCAAGACUGAAACUUAAAGGAAUUGACGG
rnacentral:rRNA from 1 species